rnacentral:tRNA from 3 species
GGAGAGGUGGCUGAGUGGUUGAAAGCGGCACCCUGCUAAGGUGUUAUACGGGAAACUGUAUCGAGGGUUCGAAUCCCUCUCUCUCCG